UAGCGCGGUAAAAUCUCUAGUAUAAGAUAAUAACAACUAAUACCUUGUAUUUAUCCAUAUACAUAUUCCCCUUAGACUUAGGAUUCAGUCUCUUGUAUAAGUACAUCAAUAACAAUAACACUUUCCUAUUUCAUGGUAUGAGAGCAGCAACAAUUCUUGACCUAACAGAUUUCGUUUUCCUGCUCACAUAACCGCUUCCACUUACAUAUUUUUCUACUACAAACCCUUGUUCAUCAACGAGCCCUAGUUUCGACAAAUAGUAUACAGUUUCUUCUUUAGAUAUGUUUCUUUCUCAAUAUGUUAGGGUUAUUGUUCUAGGGUUCUUCUUUUAGUGAAUCAUCGACCCUGUUUAUACUUUCAAAUUAUGAUCUUUGCUUGCUUGAAGUUUGCAGACUCCAAUCUAAUCGCCAUGGCUAAGAGUUCCUUCAAGCUUUCUUGUCCUCUCGGUUAGUCUCUCAUAUCUUCUUUUCUUCUUUUAGCUGCAUAUUCGUAGCUGACUCCCUCUUUUAAUUAGAGAAAAAAAGUUUUUUAGUUUUUGAUUCUGAUCAUAAGUCUUGGCAAAACUUGUUUCGUGUUUUUGAUUCUAAUAUUGCUUCUUAUCAACCGCAAAAGCUGCGCUUACGGGUGGUAACGGUUGUGGAUGUUUUGCAACACUCACUCAAACCGUCCAAACUGUUUCAAACCGUUCCAAACUGUUUCAAACAGCUCUAAACCUAUGAAAUUUAAAAGUUAAAUUUGGCAAAACUUGUUUCGUGUUUUCGAUUCUAAUAUUGCUUCUUAUCAACCGCAAAAGCUGCGCUUACGGGUGAUAACGGUUGUGGAUGUUUUGCAACACUCACUCAAACCGUCCAAACUGUUUCAAACCGUUCCAAACUGUUUCAAACAGCUCUAAACCUAUGAAAGUUAAAAGUUGGUUGUAGCUAUUGUUUGCUUGAGGAGGGCAAAUUUUUUAAAAAAAUUAAUAGUAUAAUUUGAUUAAUAUAAUUUGAUAUUUAUUAUAAUAAUAUAAUAUUAUUUUUAAUAAAUAUAUAAAUAUUAUUAAUUUAUUAUUAAAUCACUUCUACAUUUGGUAGUUAACCAGUCAUAAUUAUCUCACAAACGCACACAAAUCUCUUAAUAACAUUUAAAAUUGCAAUGUCCGUAUCCAUAAACGCCCGCAACCCACCCGCAACCGCUGCAGUUACACCAGUCAGUCAGGCCCUAAAGCAAGACUAAAUAGUCUCUUAACCCUUUUAGAUUACAUAAUCUUUACCAAAUGGUAGCUUUGUUCUUAUGUUUGUUUGAUGCUUUGCUUUGUGACUAUAAUCCUUUUUUUGUUUGUUGCACAGAAGCAAGGAUGGGUGAAGCUACUCGAAUGAGAGAGAAGUACCCUGACCGAAUCCCUGUACGCAUUAUAUUUUUUCUUUUAUCUAAAUUUAGUUUAUCAUUAAUGUGUUUUAAUUUAGAAACUGAAACUUGUAGGUGAUUAUGGAAAAGGGUGGACAAAGUGAUCUUCCGGACAUUGACAAGAAUAUAUAAUAAUAAAACAGACUUUUCUCUCACCUUAGCCCUCCACGUCCUUUUUUAGAGGUGGGCGUUUUACGCCACGUGGCAUCUAAACCUUCGACUCCUAAAAUUUUCGUCUCUCGGUGAAUGGGUUUUUAUUUUAAUUUGGUCUUUAUAAGUAUCAGAUGCAUGGGCCCGUGUUUGACUAAGUUUUUAUGAUCCUCGACUGAGACGCCCUAAUCCUUUCGCUUCCCUUCCAUCCGAUGAAAACUCUGGGUAACAGAUUCGUUUUUUAAGUCCACCAUUAAAAUGAGCAUUUAACACCAUCAUACCUCUCCUCCCACUCCGCCUCAUUUAUUUAUUCUAAUUGGCGACGAAGGUAAGCGAUGCAUGUCUGAGUUUGGUACGACUUCAGACUAUAAAUGUCUCCGUUAGAUGCCAUGAACAGCUCCACCGCUAAGAUUUCUCAAAGAUUAUACUCUGCCAAGCAUCACCGCCCACUAUGUCGACUUCCUACGUUCUUCUCGCAAAUCUGAAAGCAGGCCGUUGCUCAAACACCUCCGAGGUCAGUUCUUGACGUUCUAUAGAAGAAGAAAUUUCGUGAUGACUUGAAGAGCGUGAGAGGAGAAACUUUUCUUCCAAAGAAAAAUCUCACUGUGAUGAGUGAGACGAUAAAUUUCAAGCCUUUUUCAAUAUGAUUUUGUAAAGAUUCUUCCUUCGUUUCACUAAUGUGUUUUUUUUUGUCAUUAGUUGAAAGCUACUACAGGAGAGGGAAUCAGCUAUUACUCGAAGGUUAGAGAAAUUAAAAUUUUUCUUUGAUUAUAUGUCACAGGAUACAUGUAGUUUGAUUAUAUGUUUUCUAAAUUCUAACUUUGAUAUCCUGCUUUUAGGCUCUAAAAGGGACUCUGAAGAUGAUUCUGAUGAUGAUAGGUACCUAUUUUCCAUUCUUUCCUUCCUAUUGCAGUUCAUCUUUUGUGCUUUAAACUUCUAAAGAUUCUUUGCUUGAGAUUUAAUGCUUUUCCUCAGAGCCCUGGUUUGGGAAUAUGCAAUUGCUUCAGUGUUCUCCUUUUUGAGAGUUUUUGAUGACUUAUAUCAACUGAGACUCGCAAUUUCCUUUGAGUUAUCUUACGAUCUGGUUGUCUUUCUUAGAUAUAAAGAAAGUGACGAUGAUGAGGAUGAGACUGGAUCUCUUAUGGCUGAACUAGACCAGAUAAAUAAAUAAAGAGGCUCAGGAAGGAAAAGCAGCAGCAAAUGAAGAGCUAAACGCCAAAGAAGAGGAACUUCCCAAAAGAAACCCACUGCUUGACAACACUCCAACUCUGUUUAGUGUCAAAAGAAGGCUAGCAUCUUUUGAAGUCUUGUUUCUUCAUGAGUCUCUGAAUUAUAUGAAUUUUUGGAGGCACAUAUUAAUCUUUUAAGUUUCCUCUUUUUUCAGGUGUGAUGAUGAUGUGGUAUCGAGAAUUUGGGACGUGGGGAAAAUGAAAUUAAGCACCUGAGCGCUUCAUCAGUAAUACAAUCAAGAAUUACUUCCACAAAAAGUUCCACUUUUGCAUUAACGAAUGACUCAAUGUGUUAAAAAUUAAUUGAAUCAAACUGUUCUCUGUUUUUGAGUGCAGGAGGUCCUUGAGAUACAAGGCAAACGAGGAAAGUAGGCUUUUUUAAUUAUAUGGUCUACCACCAGAAGCAAUCAAUCUGAUUGGACCGUAAGAAUCUUCAACCACAGAAGGUAAUGGUUUUUUUCAAAUACAUAUACUAACCAGCUAUAGCUUUACAUCAAUAAAUUCAGGACAGUGAUCGAAAUGUUGUCCCAGUUCAUACACAUGCAUUUGGUUUCUUUAAUCGGGCAUUGCAGUGACUCAGUGAGAACAAUAAGAGGACCAUUGUGCAUGACUUGGAUCACCCAAGGUUGAGCUGGAGACAGAAGCUUGAGAUAUGUCUUGGUGCAGCUAGAGGCCUGCACUAUAUCCAUACAGAUUCCACAAGAGGUAUCAUCCACCGCGAUAUGAAGUAUGAUAACAUUCUCUUCGAUGAGAAUUUCAUGGACAAAGUUUCAGAAUUUGGAUUGUUUAAGACGUCCAGAUCUUGACCAGACACGUGUGAGUACGACGGUAUAGGAAGAUUCAUUUUCUUGAUCCAGACCAGUACAAGAUAACAAUUGACUGGGAAGUCUGAUGUUUACUCUUUUGGGUAAUGCUUGAAGUACUUGAGGGAGACCAGAUCCAUCUAUUCCAAAAGAAGAGUCUUUAAGUUACUGUAGUAUUGUUAGUUCAUGAGGGAGGAAAGCCCGCAUUUCUUUUUUAUACCCAUUGCAUACAGAUUAUUGUUAUACUUUCUAGAUAUUUAUUUUCAAAUAGUCUCUUUUGUGUGUU